AAAAUUUACUGACACUUGAUAAAUGUUAAACGAAGUCCUUCAAUGAAUCUCUCAAGGUGCUCGAAGCUGAUAUUCAGUUCGCCAACACUCUAUGUCCAUGAAUUUUACGGAUUUCCUCUGUAAUCCUUGCCUCAGAAAACAAUCUCGACGCCGUUGCUGGUGGAGGAAUGCCGUCAUACGAGCCCCGGAGCACGCUGCUGCUGGCUGAUGGUUGGGCUAUUGAGAAUUUGCCUCGGUAGGUCUGUGUUACUUUUGGGAGCAGCCUCUCCAUAAAUGGGGGUAAGGCUAGCCGACAUUCACCUCUCCCAGACCCUGCGUAAAGCGGGAGCCUUGUGCACUGGGUACGACCGACUUAGCAAAAUGCCCGUCUGGCCAAAUUAUAGGACAGGUGUGCGGUUCUUAUUUAUUUAAUUUUUUCUCCUUUCUCUCUUUUUGAUACUUUUCAUGUGUAUUCACUUCGAAAAAAUACUUUAGUCUUAAUGAUAUUAAUGUUGCAUGAUCUAUUUUCUUCUAGAGCCAUAAAAUCUGCAAGAGGUUUCCAAGUAUACAAGGAGGUUGCUAGCCUUUCCGGGCUUAACUUUGCUUACACAGAUUACACUGCAGUAUACCAUACAAAGGUUUUUUUAUUCCCUUUUUCCCCUCUUUUUGGGAUAUUAGUUACAAAAUCUGUUUGGAGCAUAAGUGUGAAAUUAACAGGAGGGGUUGUUAAUUAGUUAAUAUGAUUAUCAAUGUAUAUGAGUUAGAGAACUCAUUGCGACUUGCAGAGAUUGCCUAAAGACAAAAAGAAAACAAUGUUUGUUUUGAGUACUUCUCAUGUCAUUGAGGCACAAAUGUUGUACCUGCAUUAAUUAAUUUUCUUUAUAUCGAAAUUGAAUAAAUCUAAUUUUCCUAGAUAUCCAAAUGUAUUAAAGUAAUUGUGAUUGAAGUUUGUUUAUGUCUGCUUUCCAAGAUUCAUUUUUUGGUUACCAGAUAUCUCACUCCGUUUACAAGUGCUUUUUAGUUAACUAAAAAAAGGCUUUUUAUUAUUUGGCUUACAUGAGUUCUAUUACCGUUUACAAGUCAACCCCACAAUACCAAAGUACAAGAGAAACAAAGAUUGGAGGGGCUGCCCCACCAUUCAGUUACUCUUGGGCACUUGAGGAGGGUGUGAUCAUAUGCCUCACUUCGGGAAUUGAUAUUAGGAGGUGUUAAAUGGACCGUUGGAAUUGGGUUUCGAGUCUCUGAGGGACAUAAUGAGAUGGGUUAUUGAUAAAAGGGUUAGGAGGAGAAGGUGGACAAGAAACCAGUACAUUGGAAUAUUGGAUGCACAAUAUCAGUGAUGAACACUUUUCCUUUUCUUUGUUUAGAAAAAAUUUGAAAGAGCCACUGGUUUUGAACGUGCUUAAAUGCAAAGAUUAGUUGCAAAAUUUUGUUUA